GAGGUAUGUUCAGAGCAGUGUGCCUGAAUCUUGGCUGUGUUGUUUGCAUCACACCGAAUAGCAUCUUGGGCUUAUUGUCACAGGGGUGCCCCUUAGCUGGCCUUCCUUUGGACAACAGUGCCCUACAGUGCAAAAAAACCCAAAAAAC
ensembl:snoRNA